AAACACCACUAGGGGUCCAGUAACUGGCUGAUUUAAUUCUUGUGUUCCUGGACUUUAUCAUAAAUACAAUCCGUCGAACAGUAAAGAAGAGAGUUCCUCAGGUGGGACCCUGAGGAACUCCACCUUCUGACUCGUACCGUCCACUUCCUGUUUCCUACCUGUCUGGCGGAGCAGCGCUGUUUGGACGGAUAAACCAGGAACUUGUAGAGCAGGUCAACGGCCUGAGGGGACGUGUCGGGGACGAUCUCCCCCAAUGGGAUCGCUGGAUUCUCCUUGAAGAAAGUGAAUCUUACAGGCCAGCUGUCCUGAGUUGGAGUCCCCAGCACUCUGAGGACACAACAGAGCUGCUCGAUGUCGUUCUCUCCCGGAAACAGAGGAGACGAGUUCAGCAGCUCCCCGAAAAUACAGCCCACCGCCCUGAAACACAAACACACAUCAGGGCUUUUAUUCUGAAGGGCUACAGGGACAGACUCAAGUCAGAAGCCACCUGGUGGCUGUACAGUCUCUCUCCCUCCUCACUGAACAAUCUUGCCAAACCAAAGUCUGCGAUCUUCAGAUGACCUGAAGAGCUGAUGAGAAGGAAGGCCACGCCCUUCAGCAGCAUCAUCAUGUAACCUUUGACCUGAGCCGGGGUCAAAGGUCGCUGAGAGUUCCUGAUCACCUCGGAGAGGUCGGAGAGCAUGAAGUCAAACACCAGGACGAAGCCCGUACCAUGAGGGAAGACGUCCUUCAGCUUCACCACCUGAGGAAGAGGAAGAGGAGUGUGAGGCUGACCUCUGACCUCUGACCUGAAAAAGGCUCUUUGAAGGGAGUCGUGUCUUAUAGCUCAGUUCUUUCUUUUGAACGGCUUUGUUUCAUUUUUUUAGGGGUUAUUAAGUUUAUCUGUGAUAUAAUCACAAGGAUGGCGACCGGGUAAGAUUCAAACAUAAUCAUCCCACCAAUAUCAUUUAAUUCUGCAUGUGUGGACUAUGUGCACUAAAUUACUACUGUUAUUAUCUGCAUUGUAAACAUUACACAAGGUGACGCCAUGUCACUCUGUACUUUGAAUGUACCCUCUCUAGGUAACGAGUUUUGUAAAUAAAGUGCCGUAACAUCACUACCUCUGACCCCAACAUGACGACCUCUGAUACUCACAUGCUGGUUGUCCUCGAUCUCCUGCAGGGCCUUGAUCUCCCUCAGAGCCUGGUUGGGGAUGCCGUCCUCCAGCCGCCUCAGAGCCACUUUCUUCAGAGCCACCGUCUCUCCUGUCUGACGGACGACACAAAUCAACACUUUCAUUAUUGAUAAACCAAAGUUCUGAGACCUGUGCACACAUUGAGUAACUGUGGGAGAAACAUUAUUUGGAGACGGGCUCAUGAAAGUGAUAAGACUUCUGAUCAGGUCCUCUGGCCUUCAAAAUAAAAGUUGCUUUUUAAAAACUAUUGGUAUAACCAUUUCAGAUAGUAACAUAAAGUUACAGGCUACAUUCCCCAUUGUUCUUGUGUUCAUGCUCUAGUCACUCAGAAUACUUUACACAACUUAUAUUUACUUUUUGUUUUCCUAUUGCACUACAAGUUUGUACCUGUUUUGUAACCUGUUGUUUGCACCUUAUUUAUAGUCUGAAUGUUUGUGAACCAGGAACCAGGGAAACACUAUUUAGUUCCUCUAUGCCCUGUACUGUAUACAGAUGGAUGACAAUAAAGUCUCUCUUGUCUCUCUUC